UAAUGGCCUACCAAGGCGAUGAUCGGUAGCCGGCCUGAGGGGGCGCACGGCCACACUGGAACUGAAACACGGUCCAGACUCCUACGGGAGGCAGCAGUGGGGAAUUUUGCGCAAUGGGGGAAACCCUGACGCAGCAACGCCGCGUGGAGGAUGAAGUCCCUUGGGACGUAAACUCCUUUCGACCCGGACGAUAAUGACGGUGCGGGUGGAAGAAGCCCCGGCUAACUUCGUGCCAGCAGCCGCGGUAAUACGAGGGGGGCAAGCGUUGUUCGGAAUUAUUGGGCGUAAAGGGCGCGUAGGCGGUGCGGUAAGUCACCUGUGAAACCUCUAGGCUUAACCUAGAGCCUGCAGGCGAAACUGCCGUGCUUGAGGGUGGGAGAGGUGCGUGGAAUUCCCGGUGUAGCGAUGAAAUG
rnacentral:rRNA from 1 species